rnacentral:rRNA from 1 species
GACGAACGCUGGCGGCGUGCUUUACACAUGCAAGUCGAACGGAAAGGCCCUGCUUUUGUGGGGUGCUCGAGUGGCGAACGGGUGAGUAACACGUGAGUAACCUGCCCUUGACUUUGGGAUAACUUCAGGAAACUGGGGCUAAUACCGGAUAGGAGCUCCUGCUGCAUGGUGGGGGUUGGAAAGUUUCGGCGGUUGGAGAUGGACUCGCGGCUUAUCAGCUUGUUGGUGGGGUAGUGGCUUACCAAGGCUUUGACGGGUAGCCGGCCUGAGAGGGUGACCGGCCACAUUGGGACUGAGAUACGGCCCAGACUCCUACGGGAGGCAGCAGUGGGGAAUAUUGCACAAUGGGCGGAAGCCUGAUGCAGCAACGCCGCGUGCGGGAUGACGGCCUUCGGGUUGUAAACCGCUUUCGCCUGUGACGAAGCGUGAGUGACGGUAAUGGGUAAAGAAGCACCGGCUAACUACGUG